GCUUGAGAUUAAUCUAUUUUAUGGGAAAUAUCGAAAAUAUUGUAAUAUUUCUCCCCAAAUCUGCUAUUUUUGCUCACUUCCUGCAGAAUGCUUAAACUAUAUAAAGUAUUUAGCUCUUAAUAAUACGAAGUUCCGUUUCUACCUCAUUAUUUAUUCAUGUUGUUUACUGUAUUGUUUACAGUUGUGCUGAAAAGGUCGCAACUUUUUAAUAUAAAUUCUGUGUUUUAGGUGUGCACAAAUGUGAAGUGCUGUUGUAAUCUCGCCCGUUUUUUAUGUCUGCCUGCAAAUUAGAUUUGUUUAAGUGUUGAAAGAUGUAUUAUUGAAACCUACUUGACUACAAUUCUACCAGGGUGCAUUCCAUGUAGAGUGCACGCCGAAGUUCCGCCGCUGAAAAAUUCGCACACGCCGCCA